rnacentral:rRNA from 1 species
CGGAAGUUUUCGGAUGGAAGUUAAACUGAUUGAGUGGNGGACGGGUGAGUAACGCGUGGGUAACCUGCCUCNCACAGGGGGACAACAGCUAGAAAUGGCUGCUAAUACCGCAUAAGCGCACAGCUUCGCAUGAAGCAGUGUGAAAAACUCCGGUGGUGUGAGAUGGACCCGCGUCUGAUUAGCUGGUUGGUGAGGUAACGGCUCACCAAGGCGACGAUCAGUAGCCGACCUGAGAGGGUGACCGGCCACAUUGGGACUGAGACACGGCCCAAACUCCUACGGGAGGCAGCAGUGGGGAAUAUUGCACAAUGGGGGAAACCCUGAUGCAGCGACGCCGCGUGAGUGAAGAAGUAUUUCGGUAUGUAAAGCUCUAUCAGCANGNAAGAGAAUGACGGUACCUGACUAAGAAGCCCCGGCUAACUACGUGCCAGCAGCCGCGGUAAUACGUAGGGGGCAAGCGUUAUCCGGAUUUACUGGNUGUAAAGGGAGCGUAGACGGCUUAGCAAGUCUGAAGUGAAAGCCCGAGGCUCAACCCCGGGACUGCUUUGGAAACUGUUAAGCUGGAGUGCUGGAGAGGUAAGCGGAAUUCCUAGUGUAGCGGUGAAAUGCGUANAUAUUAGGAGGAACACCAGUGGCGAAGGCGGCUUACUGGACAGUAACUGACGUUGAGGNUCGAAAGCNUGGGGGAGCAAACAGGAUUANAUACCCUGGUAGUCCACGCCGUAACGAUGAAUACUAGGUGU